AUUGAACGCUGGCGGCAUGCCUUACACAUGCAAGUCGAACGGUAACGGGCCUUCGGGUGCCGACGAGUGGCGAACGGGUGAGUAAUGUAUCGGAACGUACCUUUCAGUGGGGGAUAACGUAGCGAAAGUUACGCUAAUACCGCAUAUUCUGUGAGCAGGAAAGCAGGGGAUCGCAAGACCUUGCGCUGAUUGAGCGGCCGAUAUCAGAUUAGCUAGUUGGUGAGGUAAAGGCUCACCAAGGCGACGAUCUGUAGCGGGUCUGAGAGGAUGAUCCGCCACACUGGAACUGAGACACGGUCCAGACUCCUACGGGAGGCAGCAGUGGGGAAUUUUGGACAAUGGGGGCAACCCUGAUCCAGCCAUGCCGCGUGAGUGAAGAAGGCCUCGGGUUGUAAAGCUCUUCGGUCCGGGAAGGAAAUCGUAUGGGCGUAAUACCCUGUGCGGAUGACGGUACCGGCAUAAGAAGCACCGGCUAACUACGUGCCAGCAGCCGCGGUAAU
rnacentral:rRNA from 1 species